rnacentral:rRNA from 1 species
GUACAGGGCCCAUUGGGUACUGUGAUUGGAAUGAAUACAAUUUAAAAACCUUAAUGAGGAACGAUUGGAGGGCAAGUCUGGUGCCAGCAGCCGCGGUAAUUCCAGCUCCAAUAGUGUAUAUUAAAGUUGCUGCAGUUAAAAAGCUCGUAGUUGGAUUUCGGAUUAAUGGGAGUUAAGGUCCAUCAAUUUGAUGUGUACCUUAUUCUCGUUUCCUUCCUUUUGAAUACACUCCCUGAAAUUUUUUUUGGGGAUCAAAGUGUUUCAAAUCUUUUACUGUGAAGAAAUUAGAGUGUUCAAAGCAGGCGUAAUCUAGCCUUUGAAUAUAUUAGCAUGGGAUAAUGAAAUAGGACUUUAGUUCUACUUUCGUUGGUUUCUAGGGCUAAAGUAAUGAUUAAUAGGGAUAGUUGGGGUCACUAGUAUUUAAUUGUCAGAGGUGAAAUUCUAAGAUUUAUUAAAGACUAACUACUGCGAAAGCAUUUGACAAGGAUGUUUUCAUUAAUCAAGAACGAAAGUUGGGGGAUCGAAGAUGAUCAGAUACCGUCGUAGUCUCAACCAUAAACUAUGCCGACCAAGGAUCCGGGGGUGUUAAAUAUGGAUGACUCUCCGGGCACUUAUAGAGAAAUCAUAAGUAUUUGGGCUCCGGGGGGAGUAUGGUCGCAAGGCUGAAACUUAAAGGAAUUGACGGAAGGGCACCACAAGGAGUGGAACCUGCGGUUUAAUUUGACCCAACACGGGGAAACUUACCAGGUCCAGACACAGUGAGGAUUGACAGAUUGAGAGUUCUUUCUUGAUUCUGUGAGUGGUGGUGCAUGGCCGUUUCUAGUUGGUGGAGUGAUUUGUCUGGUUAAUUCCGUUAACGAACGAGACCUUAACCUAUUAAAUAGUUGCUUGAACACAUGAAUAUUUUAUUCUUUGUUCGGUUAACUUCUUAGAGGGACUCUUCACUGAGAGAGUGAAUGGAAGUUUGAGGCAAAAACAGGUCUGUGAUGCCCUUAGAUGUUCUGGGCCACACGCGCGUUACACUGACAUAUUCAACGAGCAUUUUCCUGGCCCGAUGGGGUUGGGUAAUCUUUUAAAUGUAUGUCGUGCUGGGGAUAGAUCAUUGUAAUUAUUGGUCUUGAACGAGGAAUUCCUAGUAAGUGCAAGUCAUCAACUUGCGCUGAUUACGUCCCUGCCCUUUGUACACACCGCCCGUCGCUACUACCGAUUGAAUGGCUUAGUGAGACCUCCGGAUUGGCUUUGUGGAGUCGGCAACGACAC